rnacentral:rRNA from 15 species
CGGGUUUGAUCCUGGCUCAGAGUGAACGCUUGGGGUGCGCAUAACACAUGCGAGUCUACGUUUCGUGGCGUACGGGUGAGUAAAGCAGGAUAAAGGCUGCCCAACAGUUCAGAAUAAAUUCUGAAUAAAAGGCUGGUCCGCUGUUGGAUGCCAUCUGUAUAGGAUUAGGUAAUCAUAGAGAGCCUGCGAUCCUUAGUUGACCUGGGCAGGGUGCACAGCCACAUUGGGACUGAGACAAGGCCCAAGCUCCAGAAGGAGGCAGCAGUGAGGAAUAUUGGGCAAUGAGCGAAAGCUUGACCCAACGACACCCCGUGGUCGAAGAAGGCUAAGGUCGUAAACACACGAGGUUGGUGAUGAUAGUGACAGUAACUAGCCGAAAAGCCCCGGCUAACUCCGUGCCAGCAGCCGCGGUAAUACGGGGGGGGCAAGCGUUAUUCGCAAUGACUGGGCGUAAAGCGUGUGUAGGCUGCUUGUUUAUGUGGCCCUUGAUAAAAGACUAGGGCUUAACCUUAGCCAUCUCUUGGGUACAACAGGUUUGAGUUUGUCAGAGGUUAACGUAAUUCCCUUCAUAGGGGUAAAAUCCUAGAAUGUUGGGACGAACACCGGGAGCGAAGGCGGUUAACUAGGGCAAACUGACGCUAGAGCACGGAAGCGUAGGGAGCGAAUGGGAUUAGAUACCCCAGUAGUCUACGCCGUCAACGAUGGGUUUUGGUAGUCUCAACUGCUAAGCUAACGCGUAAAAUACCCCGCCUGGGGAGUACGGUCGCAAGAUUAAAACUUAAAGGAAUUGACGGGGGCUUUGCACAAGCGGUGGGGCAUGCGGUUUAAUCCGAUACUCCGCGUAAAAUCUUACCGACCCUUGAAACAAACAGGUGUUGCAUGGCUGUCGUCAGCCCGUGUCGUAAGAUGUUUGGUUAACUCCUUGCAACGGGCGCAACCCCUCUCUUUGGAGCACUCCCGUUUAAGUAACGGCAGGAGAUCGGGACAACGCCAAGUCGUCAUGGCCCUUACGGGUCGGGCUACACAUGUGUCACAUAGGUGCGCACAAUGGGGCACUUAGGUGAUCCUUAACUCGCAUCAAGGUUCGGAUUGCCUCCUGAAACUUGGAGCCAUGAAGGCGUAAUCGCUAGUAAUCGCAGAUCAUUACGCUGCGGUGAAUACUUAGUCGAGCUUUGUACACACCGCCCGUCACGCCCGGAAAGACAGCCUUGCUUGAAUGGUGGGUGGUGAUUCCUUACUUUUUGAAGGAUAGCUGCUUCUUGAUAGUGGGGUCGACGAUCGGGGCGAAGUCG